rnacentral:rRNA from 1 species
GGCUACUGCUAUCGGGGUUCGAUUAAGCCAUGCGAGUUAAAUGUUCUUUGUGAACAUAGCGAACUGCUCAGUAACACGUGGAUAACCUACCCUUAGGACCGGAAUAACCCCGGGAAACUGGGGAUAAUACCGGAUAAGCCAUAGACGAUGGAAUGCCCUAUGGUUCAAAGCUCCGGCGCCUAAGGAUGGAUCUGCGGUCUAUCAGGUUGUAGUGGGUGUAACGUACCUACUAGCCGACGACGGAUACGGGUUGUGAGAGCAAGAGCCCGGAGAUGGAUUCUGAGACACGAAUCCAGGCCCUACGGGGUGCAGCAGGCGCGAACACUUUACAAUGCGGGAAACCGCGAUAAGGGAACCCCGAGUGCCAGCAUCAAAUGUUGGCUGUCCAGAUGAUUAAAAAUCAUUUGUUAGCAAGGGCCGGGCAAGACCGGUGCCAGCCGCCGCGGUAACACCGGCGGCCCGAGUGGUAGCCGUUUUUAUUGGGUCUAAAGGGUCCGUAGCCGGCUUGAUAAGUCCUUUGGGAAAUCUGGCAGCUUAACUGUCAGGCUUCUAAGGGAUACUGUCAGGCUUGGGACCGGAAGAGGUAAGGGGUACUCCAGGGGUAGGAGUGAAAUCUUGUAAUCCCUGGGGGACCAUCUGUGGCGAAGGCGCCUUACCAGAACGGGUCCGACGGUGAGGGACGAAAGCUAGGGGAGCAAACCGGAUUAGAUACCCGGGUAGUCCUAGCUGUAAACGACGCUCGCUAGGUGUCAGACACGGUGCGACCGUGUUUGGUGCCGCAGGGAAGCCGUUAAGCGAGCCACCUGGGAAGUACGGUCGCAAGGCUGAAACUUAAAGGAAUUGGCGGGGGAGCACUACAACGGGUGGAGCCUGCGGUUU